AAUGAAUUUUAUCUCUUGACCAAUCAGCUAUGGUGUAUCAAAACAGCUUAAUUUUUCAUUUUAGUAUUUCUGAUCAAGGGACAGGGUACUAGAUGCUUCUUGGAAAAUACAAAAAGUAGGAGAAUAUUAGCAAGGUUUUCUGGAAAUAUAACUGCAGAAGUUCUGAUGGAAGUUCAUUGAUCUGAAAGGAUACAAGAGAUUCUGCAGAUGCUGGAAAUCCAGAGCAACAUACACAAAGUGCUGGAGGAACUCAGCAGGUCAGGCAGCAUCUAGAGAAAUGAAUAAACAGUCAAUGUUUUCGACCAAGCCCCUUCUUCAGAACUGGAAAGGAAGGAAGAAGAUGAGAAGAUGUCAGGAUCAGAAGAUGGAGAAGGGGAAGGAGGACAAACUAGAGGUGUUAGGUGAAGCCAGCUUUCUCCACAGAUCUAUGGAAAACAGGUCGCACAAUGAUACAGUGCUGGCUGGAACCAAACGGUGAAGUAGAGUCAAUCAGUGAACCUGCCGGCCCCGAGGAUUCCUCUUGAGGUGUUCAAAGCGAUCUCGACUUCAUAUGUAUGGUCAGGAACCAUCUUUGGGAUUUUGAGACCUUAUCAGUCAAUUGUGCUAACUGGAAUAGUAUAAUGGUAGCUUGCCGAACACCAGCUCUAUCCCGACUACCAGAUUCCAACCUGAAUCUUGGCAACAUGAUUUUUGCUGUUGUGAUUGUCUUCAUCAUUGCCUUGCCUCUCCUUUACCAUCAUUCCACUUGUGUCAACUUGCUGCCAUCAUUCGAUAGGCUUUCCCAGUUUGUGUUAAUUUUUUUUUGUAAUUUAUUUAUUAUUGAAGUUCAUCAUCAAACAAACAUUUCCAUAAGAUAUAUUUCAGAUACUGUAUAUAUAUAUAUCAUAUAAUAUUUGUUACAAAUCUCCACCACUUUUAUUUUAAUUUAGUCCCAUUAAUGAAGGAUAAAUAUGUACAGCACAAUCUCUAUGAGCCUGAAGGUUGUGAAGCCUUUAAUUCUAAUACUGUACUGCUAAGAAACAGAAACUACAUAAAAUGUGUCAAUACAAUGUUACACACCUGGAGUAUGGUUUUAUUCUGUUUCCAUCAGAUCAGAGACCCACCAUGUGUCUUAUCUGUAAUACUGUACUGUCUAAUGAAGCCAUGAAUCCAUUAAGAUUGCAGACACACUUGCAUAAAAGACGCCCUGAAAAGGCUACUUAUGGUAUUACUCAAUUCCAGAAGAUGAAAGAAGCAUUUGAAAAGCAUUGUACACUUGAGUAAUUUACCAAGAAAGCUAAAAAUAACCUUGAUAGUGGUUUCAUUGCUUCUUAUAACAAUCCCAAAAUGAUAAUGAAGUGUGAAAAACCUCAUACAGUUAGUGAAAGAUUAAU